rnacentral:lncRNA from 1 species
CUCUGUUCUAUCGUGUAUGUGUGUGUAUCCCUGUGUGUGUGUGCGUGUAAUGUGUGUGUGUGUGUGAUGUAUGUGUGAUGUGUGUGCGAUAUGUGCGUGUGUGUAUGAUGUGUGUGAGUGUGUGAGAGUGUGUGUGUGUGUGUGUGAUGUAUGUGUGACGUUUGUGUGAUAUUUGUGUGUCUGUGGGUGUGAUGUGUGUGUGUAUGUGUCUCUUUGUGAGUGUGUGUGAUGUGUGUGUAUGUGUGUGUGUGUGUGACGUGUAUGUGUGUAUGUGAUGUGUGUGUGAUGUGUGUGUGUGUGUGUAAUGUUGUGUGUGUGUGUUUGAUGUGUGUGUGUGUGAUGUGAUGCGU